rnacentral:rRNA from 1 species
GAUGAACGCUGGCGGCGUGCCUAAUACAUGCAAGUCGAGCGAACGGACGAGAAGCUUGCUUCUCUGAUGUUAGCGGCGGACGGGUGAGUAACACGUGGAUAACCUACCUGUAAGACUGGGAUAACUUCGGGAAACCGGAGCUAAUACCGGAUAAUAUUUUGAACCGCAUGGUUCAAAAGUGAAAGACGGUCUUGCUGUCACUUAUAGAUGGAUCCGCGCUGCAUUAGCUAGUUGGUAAGGUAACGGCUUACCAAGGCAACGAUGCAUAGCCGACCUGAGAGGGUGAUCGGCCACACUGGAACUGAGACACGGUCCAGACUCCUACGGGAGGCAGCAGUAGGGAAUCUUCCGCAAUGGGCGAAAGCCUGACGGAGCAACGCCACGUGAGUGAUGAAGGUCUUCGGAUCGUAAAACUCUGUUAUUAGGGAAGAACAUAUGUGUAAGUAACUGUGCACAUCUUGACGGUACCUAAUCAGAAAGCCACGGCUAACUACGUG